GGUUUGCCAAAAACAUCAAAAUUUGAAAAUAGUUUCCUGAAAAAGGCCAUUUUUAAUUUUCCUUUUUAAAAUAUCAG
rnacentral:lncRNA from 1 species